UACGUAGGGGGCAAGCGUUGUCCGGAAUCAUUGGGCGUAAAGAGCGUGUAGGUGGCUCGGUAAGUCCGCUGUGAAAGUCCAGGGCUCAACCCUGGAAAGCCGGUGGAAACUGUCGAGCUCGAGUCCGGAAGAGGCGAGUGGAAUUCCUGGUGUAGCGGUGAAAUGCGCAGAUAUCAGGAGGAACACCAAUGGCGAAGGCAGCUCGCUGGGACGGUACUGACACUGAGACGCGAAAGCGUGGGGAGCGAACCGG
rnacentral:rRNA from 1 species